rnacentral:rRNA from 1 species
CCUACGGGGUGCAGCAGUGAGGAAUAUUGGUCAAUGGGCGCGAGCCUGAUCCAGCCAAGUAGCGUGAAGGAUGAAUGCCCUCCGGGUUGUAAGCUUCUUUUAUAAAGGAAUCAAGUGAGGCACGUGUGCCUUUUUGUCUGUACUUUAUGAUUAAGGAUCGGCUAACUCUGUGCCAGCAGCCGCGGUAAUACGGAGGAUCCGAGCGUUAUCCGGAUUUAUUGGGUUUAAAGGGAGCGUAGAUGGGUUGUUAAGUCAGUUGUGAAAGUUUGCGGCUCAACCGUAAAAUUGCAAUUGAUACUGGCAGCCUUGAGUACAGUAGAGGUAGGCGGAAUUCGUGGUGUAGCGGUGAAAUGCGUAGAUAUCACGAAGAACUCCGAUUGCGAAGGCAGCUUACUAAACGGCCACUGACAUUGAGGCUCGAAAGUGUGGGUAGCAAACAGGAUUAGAUACCCCUGUAGUC